UGAAUCUCGCGAUAAUUCUGCAGGCCUAAUUUUCUUUUAGAAAUGCCGCCAUCUUCUGGUGAUCUAACACGUACCAAUGAUCGGUAUAUCUGGACUGAGAUCUAAUGAUUCUGAGGAAACCAACAAAUUUCCAAGAAUCAGCUCAGCAGAGCGGCAUGUAGAAACAGCUCUCCUGAAAUCAGCAUAACCUAAAGAGCUGGAAUUCACAUUGUGCCUAAGGAGAGAAUUCUUGCCUUGAACAGGAAUGACUCCACCUAUCAACAACAGUAAGACAUUUUGAGCAGACCUGACUGUGGAAGUCAGAGCUUACUAAAAGGAAGUGGUUUUCUGUUUGAACAAUAACCCAUAAAAACAUCCUCAUUCUCUUCAACUCACAUUUUUGCUUUAUGAAAUGACAUUACUUGACCUGGCAAAUCUAGUUUUACAAGACUUAAAAAAAUAAACACGGAUAAGAGGUUUAUUUUAAA